UGCGGCGGCGGCCGUUUCUCCCAGACUGCGUCGGGGGCGGGGGUGUCUCGUCCCCGGCGGCGGCCUGAGACUCGUUAUAGCGGCUCGUGUUAUGGUACGGACAGUUGUUUUUCUUAGGCUGUGCUCCGUGGAGCGCCUCUCCCCGCAGCCCGGGUUCACGGAUGCGACUCACUCUCCGAGGCCGCGACGCCAGAGUGGCCGGCGUCUGCGACCAGCGUCGAGGCCUGGGUUCGUGUCGGAACUGCGCUCGGCCGCACCCUUUCCUGGUCGGCCUUUCAGUCACCUCGACCCGCUGUGGAAGUGGACGAAGACGCCUUGAAGGGGGCUAGGAACGGCUGUCGGCCCAGAACCCGCUACAGCGAGGCAGUCCGCAGCCAUCCUGUGCGUUCCGCGGAGGCCAGAGGCGGGCAGGGGAGCGGCCGGUGUCGAGUGUGGAAGCUGAGACCGCCUAGCUAUAAGCGGGCCUCGUAGGUUUAGGAUUGCUUAGGGGAGAAUUAUUUUGCUUUCUCCGGUUGGCCCUAAGUGGGACGGGCAAAAAAUAAAAAAUAGGGAAGCUGGCAGUUAGUGACCAAGUCCUGUUUGGGCCCUAUUGCUGCAGAGGUUAUGGGUCCGUUCUGUUACAUAUGGUCUGUUGUUGAGUGUGCUGUCUCACUGCGUUGUGGGGUCAGAGUCUGAGACCCGCCAGCAGCUGACCCACCCCGGCUCUCAGAAGGGAGACCACAGGAACCUUCCCAGGCCGGCGGAAGCCACUCUGGAUCUGCUCAAACCUCGACCCUGAACUCUGAGGUACCAUCAGCUUGGGCAGCAUGAGAAUGCAGAAUAGCCCCUCAACAUCCCUCAGGAAAAUCAGGCAUUCAAGGACUGCUUGUUGAGCAAGUGACCCAAAGCAUGUACAUCUCCCAGCUCUGCCACUUCUACUUCUGUCCCUUUGCACAACUUGCUGAGUUUCCUUCUGUUCACCCACAAAUCAGGAAGAAUACUGCCGGCCUGGGAAGGUUAUUGUGCGCACUAAGAUACUGAAAUGAAGCAGGGGCUCUGAUGGUUGUCCAGAUUGUUGGCUGUCAUUAAAUGCCAGCUUUGAAGAGUAAUAAGGGGGGUUGUUUCUGUGUUCUGUGAUCCGAGGCUCUGAGGAAAGCCAGGUCUCAGCUUGUGAACUGGGCCAUUUUCUCCAGCCUUCAGAUGACUCAUAAUUCUACCUCAUCCAUUUCUACAAGUGCAGCUGCCUCUCCCCCAGAUGUUACAUUUGCAUCCUUUUCUAGCAGACAACAGUCCUUGUCUCAAGCUCACAAAAAAAGUCUGAGCAUCCUCCUCAUCCAGACUGUUAGACUUUUCCUCCCUAACCAAUCUCCACAUUUCUGUGAGAACUGAGAUUCAUUCCACUAGAAUCAAACCACUAGUUCCCUUUAGGUUGCCAACCCCAGGCACAGUGUCUGCCCCCAUACCCUCCAGCAGAUCCAGUGCUUCCCAUUGAGAUACACCAUCCCUUAUGGCACAGAUCAGCACCCACCGGUAGAAACUUGCAAAUCAUGUAUAACCCAUGCUUUAGUUUGCUAUCAAUGCAGAAACAAAUUACCACAAAGUUAGUGGCUUGAACAAUACAGAUUUGUUAUUUUACCAUCCUGGAGGUUAGAAGUCUAUCACUGGGCUGAAAUCAAGGUGUCUCCAGGACUGUGUUCAUUCUGAAGGCUCUAGAAAAUGAGUCCAUUUCCUUGUCUUUACCAGCCUUUAGAAGCCACUCACAUUCCUUGGCUUAUGGCCCUGCAUCACUCCAAUCCCUGCUUUUGUCAUCAUAUCUUCCUCUCUUACUCAUACCCUUCUGUCUCCCUCUUAUAAUGACCUUUGUGAUGACACUGGGCCCAUGGGGAUAAUCCAGGAUGAUCUCCCUGUUUCAAAAUCCUAACAUAAUUGAUGACAACUGCAAAGUCCCUCUGGCCAUGUGAAGCACCAUUUUCACAGGUUCUGGGGACCAGCAGUGGACAUCUGUGGGGCCGUCACUGUGCCUCCCAUGAUCCCCCAGAUUCAAAGACACUGAGCCCUGAUGGCAAACUCGUGAAUGUAAUGGUGGGU